GAAAAAGGCCACUGCACAUGCUCAAAUGGCCUCUGCAAGACCCAAGUCUAGAUUUUUCCCUGAUCUAGGGAGUCAGAAGAAUGCAAAGUUGUUGGCAAGGGACCCGAGCAUUUAAAAAACAGAUAUAAAUAGCACAAAAAAUUGAUCCCAUCCUUGCAUGGACAGGGGAGGAGGAAGUGCACACUCCUGAGGCUCAGUGAUGCUGUGUCAAGCCAAGAUAAGUUCUUGUUAUAUCUGAAUCAGCCCCAAAAGAAAGAAUAUUGGGGACUUGCUAUUAUACAUAUGGGUCCAUGAUUGGUCUCUAAACCAUAUGCAUUAUUUUCCUGCUCCUUGAUUAGUUUGCUGUAGCUCUGUAUUGCAAACUGUCCGUGUCAGGUAUUUUAUAAACGUUUCUGAGCAGACA